AGCGAACGCUGGCGGCAGGCUUAACACAUGCAAGUCGAACGCUCAUCUUCGGAUGGGAGUGGCAGACGGGUGAGUAACACGUGGGAACGUGCCCUUCGGUUCGGAACAACUCAGGGAAACUUGAGCUAAUACCGGAUACGCCCUUACGGGGAAAGGUUUAUUGCCGAGGGAUCGGCCCGCGUCUGAUUAGCUAGUUGGUGAGGUAACGGCUCACCAAGGCGACGAUCAGUAGCUGGUCUGAGAGGAUGAUCAGCCACACUGGGACUGAGAUACGGCCAGGACUCUUACGGGAGGCAGCAGUGGGGAAUAUUGGAUAAUGGGGGCCAGCCUGAUCCAGCCAUGCCGCGUGAGUGAUGAAGGCCUUGGGGUUGUAAAGCUCUUUCGACGGGGACGAUAAUGACGGUACCCGUAGAAGAAGCCCCGGCUAACUUCGUGCCAGCAGCCGCAGUAACAC
rnacentral:rRNA from 1 species